ACUCCUACGGGAGGCAGCAGUGGGGAAUAUUGCACAAUGGGCGCAAGCCUGAUGCAGCCAUGCCGCGUGUGUGAAGAAGGCCUUCGGGUUGUAGAGCACUUUCAGUCGUGAGGAAGGUAGUGUAGUUAAUAGCUGCAUUAUUUGACGUUAGCGACAGAAGAAGCACCGGCUAACUCCGUGCCAGCAGCCGCGGUAAUACGGAGGGUGCGAGCGUUAAUCGGAAUUACUGGGCGUAAAGCGCAUGCAGGUGGUUUGUUAAGUCAGAUGUGAAAGCCCGGGGCUCAACCUCGGAAUAGCAUUUGAAACUGGCAGACUAGAGUACUGUAGAGGGGGUAGAAUUUCAGGUGUAGCGGUGAAAUGCGUAGAGAUCUGAAGGAUACCGGUGGCGAAGGCGGCCCCUGGACAGAUACUGACACUCAGAUGCGAAGCGUGGGGAGCAAACAGGAUUAGAUACCCUGGUAGGAUAGCG
rnacentral:rRNA from 1 species